UUCAGUCCACUAUAAGAAGAAGAAGAAGAAAAGAAGAAGAAGAAGAAGAAGAAGAAGAAGAAGAAAUCUCACUCAAUCUUGUUGGAAUCCUUGCAAUGGCGGAGUCAAUUCUAUUCAAUGUUGCAGCCUCCCUUGUUACCAAAAUUGGGCUCUCCUGCUAUCACUGAGUUUCAAUUGUUUUGGAGUUUUCAUGAUGAUCUUGACAAACUCAAGCAAACUAUUUUAGAUAUGGAAGCUGUGCUUCAUGAUGCAGAGAAGCAACAGUCCAAUAGUCAUGCAGUGAAGAAUUGGAUGUCGGUGACUUGAUUGACGAGUAUACUUAUGAAACCUUGAGGCUGCAAGUUAUGGCUGAUGGAAAAAGAUGGAGCAAAGAGGUACGUAAAGUUUUCUCUUUACCUCGUCAGAUUGAAUUCCGAUUUCAAAUGAGUCACAAAAUUAAAGACAUUAGAGAGAAACUGAAAGCUUUUGAUGAUGAUAAAAAUCAAUUUCAUUUAUGUGAGUGUAUGAUAAAUACUUGAGAUGAUGAGCUGAGGAAGUCUUUUAUAUGUGAUGAUGAUGUGGUGGGAAGAGAUCACGACAGGAAAGCAAUUAUAGAUCUUCUCCUGAAUAUAGAUCCUAAUGCCAAGGACAAUGUUCCAAUGAUUGCCAUAGUUGGAAUGGGAGGAUUAGGAAAGACUGCACUUGCUCAAUCUGUCUAAACAUUUUGAGUUGAAACUAUGGGUGUGUAUUUCUAACGAUUUUGAUGUAAAAGUUAUUGUUGAAAAGAUUCUAGAGUCGACAGGAAAGAAACCUGAGAUUCUUCAAAUGGAUUUGUUGCAAAGUGAAUUUGGAAAGUCACUUCACUCCAUGGCCGGAAAGGACUCACCACCUCCCCUCUUUGCAAUAUUUGAAUAGUUUGGAGUGCCCCAAAUUGGAGGAGAGGAAAAGGAGAAGAUUGGCCAAAAAUUUCUCAUAUUCCCCGUGUAACCAUUGGAUAACUUUGAAGAGUAGAAAAACUUAUUCAGUCUUCAAGGGUAGGCAUUAUAAGCAUAUUCUGAUGCAACACACCAAGGGGAGGAUUAUUAUUACCUCCAAAAUUGUUCAUCUCUCAAAAUUCACUCUUAUGAAUCUUCAUGGGAGAAAGAAAAUGAGAACCAUCAUGUGUUGCUUUAGAGGAACAAGUUCUUGGGUAUUUAUUGUUCCAUUUCGAAGUUAAUUUUCUCUCUUCUGUUUCUAUUAUAUUGUUAUUAUUUCUACCCAUUAAUUUGUAAUUUGUAGUUUUAAUUCUCCAAACUUGUUUAAUCAAUUGGUAAUAUCCUGAACCAUUUGUUCAUCUCCCUCUCUCCUUCUCAUCAUUGAAAAAUUUAAAACAAAAAUAUUAUUUGUUU